AAAAGCAAUCCCUACGGAUGCUCAUGAGAUUCACAUCCCGCGUCUUUAUGUGCCACCUUGUUAACAUGUAUGUUUUUGUCAAAAGUGUCUUAACGGCACAGAGAUGUUUCUGCGAAGAGUUCUUUUUGGGAUCUACUACAGCGGAUAGCUUACGGAAGAAUUUGUAAAAAGCUUUGCUUUAUAGAAAUCAUAAAAUGUAUAACAAGUAAUUUCUUAAUUCUGCCCUUGGGGUUGAAGCUUUUCAUUAUAAACCGUUAGCAAUAGUUUAAAGCUAUUUGACACGUUGCCAUAGUAGUCUGACUGUUUUCAGGUCCGUGGGCUUGCCUGCUGUCAGCGUAGUGCACUGAUCUGUGUUCAGGCCUGAUUACAUUGAAGCAGUUGCUGAUCAUCAACCAGCUAUUGUUUCUGAACAGCAUGAAAAAAGCCAGAUAAAAUGGACCAUUAUGAAAGAAAAACACUUUGAUAUGGGUGUCAUUCAAAUAAAAGUAUUGACUGUGAUGGUUGCAUCUGCAGGCCGAGCCUGCACAGCUGUGGCGAGAAUAUUUUGUAUGACUUGAAACAGCAUACCAUUAUGCUUUGAGGCCCAUGUAGAAAUUCAGUUGGUUUGAUUUCUGUGGUAUGCUCUCUAACUAGCAUUCAAAUGUGAAUGACUUACUGCUAGAAAUAAAUGCAAUGAUGAAUCCAUGCUUUACUGUAUACAAUGUUAUUUAAUAUCAUAUUUUUUUAUGCUGUGAAAAAACUCACAAAGUAGACACUGCUCUCAGAUACAGUGUGUAAAAUCAACAGCAAGGUCGAUAUAACUCUGGUUUUACAUGCUGAAAGCUGAGCAGUAUCUGUCCAGGACAACUCUGCAGCAUCCAUCUGGGCUCUUGAUUUGCCUUCUGUCUCUGAUAUAAAGUAUUUUAAAACUGGUCUUUGAAUUUAAAACUUGUUUGUAUUUUCAUAAAAAUUAGGUGUUGUUUUAUAUCAGUUCUUCCUACAUCAGCAGUGAAAAUGCACCUGUUUGUCCCCCAAUACUUACUGUUAUCUUAGAGACUGUAGCUAAGAUAAGUGGUGACACCAGUAGACUUUUGUCUCUGCGGCUAAAAAGCAAAUCAAUGUUUCCACAAACAGAUUUUUUUUUUUAAAAUGCAUAAUAUUGAAAGAAUAUUGUAGAUAGACUUGUAUGGACAAGGAAUUACUGAGAGGAUCUACAACAGACAACACUGUGACUGAAUGGCACUGAGUAAUUAAUGAAAAACACAGGAGGAAAUUCACCUCUUUCACUGAGAGUGUCUGUUCCUACAGCGGCCAAAUUCUGACCUCAAUUAUAUCUGUGUGACCUUAUCUAGCACCAUCUGUUCAAAAAUGCAUGCCUAGCUCCUUUUUGCUGUCUCAAAUUUUCUGUAAGUGUGUUUUGAAAUCUAAUUAAAUAUUGUAGUUAUAUCUGUAAUUUGUUUACAUUUUUAUCUUGAUUUUACUUACACUUUCUAAUAUUAACAUACACAAACAGAUGAAAAGCAAAUCUGAGAGUAAUUUUCUUAAUAAAAAUAAUCAACUGUUUGAUUAGCAUUUGCUAUGGAAACUUACUUAAGUGUGAAAUAUUUUUGACACCUAGGAUUCUGAAUCCAUCAUGCUUCUAAUUAAAAUAUAUUUUUAAAUGACCCUGUAUUGUGGUUUUUCUGUUUCAAGUAGAUUUGUGGAAGCACUGUACUCUCAGUUUUCGAAAUUCUUUUUUUUCUCUUUCGAUCCCUUUCAUGGCUUCUUACAAUACGUAUGUUCUCUCAUUCAGUGAAUGGCACUGGAAAGGAUGAAAAGAUUUAUUCAUGGUGAAUAUCUCCAUUAUCUACCUCUUAAAUCUUCUAGGAAAGACCCUUAUGCCCUCUUUCAUGCUUGAGAAGAGCUAUCUAUAAACAUUUUCAAAGCUACUUAGUUAUCCUCACCUGAAUCCUCCAUAAAACUUAACACCAGUGUGAGGUCUGUCAAAAUGUGUAAUGUUUAAAUCACAUGAUUAUCCAGACCUCUGCUUCCCAUACUGUUCUCAUGUUUUCACGUCUUCCCCAACAAUCUUUUUCCAUGUGUUAAGUGUUCUCAUGUACUGUAAGGUCUUUUGGGUAUGGGUUGCCAUUUCAUUUUAAGUUUGUACAGUGUAUAGUGCCAGUGUGUCCUAGCUUAGCACUCCUUGAUCCUUGACAAUAUGUUAAUGAGCAUUAAUAUAUAAAAUGAGAAAAAAUACCAUUGCUAACUAGAAUAACCAGGCAUCAAUAAUAACUGAAUAAUAAAUAGUCAUGUUUCCAUUGCUAAAUUUGCUUUUGUUACCACUUUUUUUAUCAGAUUGCUAAGUUACAGUAGCUUACUUUCUUACUUUGUAACCUCAAAAUAAUUAUUACAUGUCACAGAAUAAUAUGUUCUUACAGUAUUAUUUUGGCCUAUUGUAUCAGUCUAUCUCAAAACAAGUUACGUGUAAUAUAUUUCCUAUUUGUAAUUGCUGUAGUGGUCCACUGCAGUAAUAAAGUUGUCACAUGGAACAUGUAAUGGACCACUUUACAUUGUUGGAACUGCUUUUUUUAUUGCAACUCCUUGUAACUUUAUGAUGUCUUCAUAAAUGUGAUCCAUGGCAAUAAUAAAGUUGUUGGACAAAUACA